rnacentral:rRNA from 1 species
UACGAAGGGGGCUAGCGUUGCUCGGAAUUACUGGGCGUAAAGGGCGCGUAGGCGGAUAUUUAAGUUGGGGGUGAAAGCCCGGGGCUCAACCUCGGAAUUGCCUUCAAUACUGGAUAUCUUGAGUUCGGGAGAGGUGAGUGGAAUGCCGAGUGUAGAGGUGAAAUUCGUAGAUAUUCGGCGGAACACCAGUGGCGAAGGCGACUCACUGGCCCGAUACUGACGCUGAGGCGCGAAAGCGUGGGGAGCAAACAGGG